AAGCAUUUUGGAAAAAGCAAAUAAUAAUGGAAAAAGUAAAUUUCGAGUGCAGUUUUUGUGGAAUAAUCGGAUCAUAUAAUACCAUAUAUAAUCAUAUUAAUUGCGAUCAUCCAGAUCCAGAAACUAUUAACAAUUUUGAAUCCCAGGCUGGAUGUAGCAGUGUUCAGGAAUUGCACGAAAAUUCAGAAGUAGACGUCGAGAUUGAUAAUAGCAAAAAUUUGGCAGAAUGGAGUGAAGGUGAAACGAAAUUACUCCUAGAUAAAUAUGGUCAAUACAUGGUUAUGAUUGGUCCGAUGAAACAGUUUAAAACAAAAAAAACUAUGUGGGAGAAAAUAGCAAUAGACUUAAAAAAUAUUCUUGGUGUGUCCAAAACAUCUCUGCAAUGCGAAAAUCGGUAUAAAACCAUUAUGAAACGAGAGAAAAAGGCAACUGACAACAACAAAAGUACAGGAGUAAAAUGACUGUUCCUUAUGAAAAUGAAUUAUCAGGAAUUAUAGGAGUUGAUGAUAGCAUAGAACCUGAGGUUUUAAUAGACGCCAAACAUUUAGUCUUAAACAUGAAACGAACAUUAUCUGAUCUUGGGGAUGAAGCUAAGGAAAACAUUUCUGAUAAAGAGACAAAUGCUAAGAAAAAGAAGAUUUUUAAUAAGAGUCGAAGUGUUGAAGACACUUUGAAGGAAAUACAUGAAAAGAAAGAAGAAGGUAGAGAACGAAGACAUCGAGAAAAACUUGAGUUGUUUAAACAAUUUUGUGAGAAAUAUCAAAAAAAGACUUCCAAAGAAUAAGGUACUUUUGUAUAUAUGUAAACCCCUUCGGGGUUAGUCGAGUAAAUUACAAGGUACUUGCAUUAUUGCUAAAUAUUUUAUCAAACUUAAUAUUGUGUUACGUUUUUGUGUUUAUUACUAUUAUUUUUUAUUUUAUUUUAAU